CAGUCAAUUAUUUGGCAAAUUUUACCGAUUCUUUACAGAGCUACAACUGUACUUCUGUGUCCCGAUUAUUGCGGAUACAGGCUUUAUCCUCACACACUCAGAUUCGAUUUCGUUGUUCGAUAAUUACUUUGCUGGAAAAAAUCGGUUAAGCGAAAAAACUACCGAGUUUCGGUAAUCACAGCCAAUUUUUCAAGAGUUCGGUAAUUUUGUUACCGGUUUAUUUGUAAUUUGCUACUGUGACAGCUGUGCAAAAGCGUCCAGAGAAGCACAACUUACCUCGGAGGUGGUCGUCCAAAGAGUGGCCUAUUCGUUGCAUGUGUCUUAUGCGUAUUCGUUGAGGGAGCACCGUAUAACGGAUUCGAGCUGUCAUACACUCAAAUUAAUUUACUGAUAGAAUUUAAGUGCAGAAAGCACAUCGCUUGCGAACGGGAAAGAAAAAAAUCAUUCUAAGUGCAACAAAUAAAAAUUAAAACUGACUUCAUUAAAAUUUAUUUUUCCUGUAUUAUGUUUAGAGUGUAGUAACAUAAAAUGCAACCCUGUCAAAAUAAAAUUCAAAAACCAAUCAUAACAAACGUAAAAUGGACAUGGCGCGCGCAGGAGACGCACAGUUUGUAGCGAACAAUUGCGGUAUUUAUUUUCAACAUGGUGCUCAACAGAACUAAUUUGCCGCCCAAGUUGCUGAAGGUAAGUAACUUAUUCUUCAGACUAUAGAAUUUUGUUCAAACUAUGUAAUUUUUUGUACUUUCUACAUUUGCACUACAACGUCGACCGCUCUUUCACCGUCACCAAGGACGAACGAUUUUGUUGGGAGCUGCCGGAAAAAGCUGCGACCGGGACGUGCUGUUUGACCAGAGUUCAGCUUGGUGGAAGCUCAACGGUUUCGAUUGUGGUGGUAUCAUCAAAGUGGAAGUUUUGGAAGAGUCAGAAGAAGAGAGUGUUUGCCAUGACAACUCGGAGGCAAGAGGAGGCAGAAGGAAGAGAGCUCGAGUACACCAAUGGAAUAGACCCUCAUGCGCGCCCUCCAUCAGACCCGGAAUCAAGCGAUUCAACUGGACAUCAAUCUUUUUGGCCCGUCGUUAUAGAAUCUAUGACAACUGCAUUGGCCGUGGCAUUAGCGGGGCUCCUUAUUCGUCGGCCGUGGCAUCGGCGGAUCACCUAGACAAUCAUUUGCGUUAGCAAGUGGCACGUACGUUGUGAAAUGUCCGGCUGUGAACGUUGGAUGCAGCUCUAAUUCCCCAAAAACAACAAGCAAGCACAUCAACGCAAUCGGUGGCACCAACCAACGGUAAA